AUUGAACGCUGGCGGCAGGCCUAACACCUGCAAGUCGAGCGAGCGGCGGACGGGUGAGUAAUGUCUGGGAAACUGCCUGCUGGAGGGGGAUAACUACUGGAAACGGUAGCUAAUACCGCAUACCAUCAGAUGUGCCCAGAUGGGAUUAGCUAGUAGGUGGGGUAACGGCUCACCUAGGCGACGAUCCCUAGCUGGUCUGAGAGGAUAACCAGAAAAACGGGGACUGGAACACGGGCCAGAGUCCAACGAGAGGCAGCAGUGGGGAAGAGUGCACAGUGGGCGCAAGCAUGAUGCAGCCAUGCCGGGUGUGUGAAGAAGGCCUUCGGGUUGUAAAGCACUUUCAGCGGGGAGGCGUUACCCGCAGAAGAAGCACCGGCUAACUCCGUGCCAGCAGCCGCGGGAAGUC
rnacentral:rRNA from 1 species